GAUGAACGCUAGCUACAGGCUUAACACAUGCAAGUCGAGGGACCGGCGUACGGGUGAGUAACGCGUAUCCAACCUUCACAUUACUGUGGGAUAACCUGCCGAAAGGCAGACUAAUACCGCAUAGUACUGGAUGGGGAUGCGUUUGAUUAGCUUGUUGGCGGGGUAACGGCCCACCAUGGCGACGUUCAGUAGGGGUUCUGAGAGGAAGGUCCCCUACGUUGGAAGUAGGACACGGACUCAAGUCCUACGGGAGACUGCGGAGAGGAAUAUUGGGGAAUGAACGGGAGUCUAAACCAGCUAAGUGUCGUGCAGGAUGACGGCCUAUGGGAUGAAAACGGCUUUGAUAUGUGGAUAGGUACCAGAUGAAUAAGGACCGGCUAAUUCCGUGCCAGCAGCCGCGGUAAUAC
rnacentral:rRNA from 1 species